rnacentral:rRNA from 1 species
GGGAGGCAGCAGUGAGGAAUAUUGGUCAAUGGGCGCAAGCCUGAACCAGCCAAGCCGCGUGAAGGAUGACGGCCCUAUGGGUUGUAAACUUCUUUUAUACGGGAAGAACCCCCCGACGUGUCGGGGACUGACGGUACCGUACGAAUAAGCAUCGGCUAACUCCGUGCCAGCAGCCGCGGUAAUACGGAGGAUGCGAGCGUUAUCCGGAUUUAUUAGGUAUAAAGGGUGCGUAGGCGGACCUGUAAGUCAGCGGUGAAAUACUACGGCUUAACCGUAGAACUGCCGUUGAUACUGCGGGUCUUGAGUACAGUUGAGGUAGGCGGAAUGUGUGGUGUAGCGGUGAAAUGCUUAGAUAUCACACAGAACACCGAUUGCGAAGGCAGCUUACUAAGUUGUAACUGACGCUGAUGCACGAAAGCAUGGGGAGCAAACAGGAUUAGAUACCCCGGU